UCCGUGAGGAUGUGACUGAAAGAGGCCCGAGACAAAACCCCGAGCCUACGUACAGAAACCGCAUGUGAGGUCGCUCAGGACGGAUGACCUGGCAAUGAACAGGGAAGUCCCAUAUCCCCACGAAGUCCUGGAGAUAGAUGCGGAGGUUAAUGGGGGGAAAGAGA
rnacentral:ncRNA from 1 species